GCGUUUCUAUGAAAGGUGGAUGUGUCAGUUGUCGAAUCGGAUUCAUCGUGAAAAUGCUGUGAAAGUGUUUUUAACAUAAAAUUGUGACUGAAAAUUGUAUAAAAUAAUAAGUUUGAGUUUUUAGAAACAGAGUGAAGUGUUUCUUUGUGAUUUUUAGUGGACGUUUCUGUGUUAAUUCGUGAGGUAAAGCUGUACAUUGGUGCGAUUACUUCAAGUUCGCCGGCUUAUCUUGUUGUGGAAAUGCUGUUCGACUCUUAUCGGUACUACAGAAGUCGAAAACAGCAUUGAAAGCCCACAGUUCUAAGAAAG